GACGAACGCUGGCGGCGUGCUUAACACAUGCAAGUCGAACGGAAAGGCCCUGCUUUUGUGGGGUGCUCGAGUGGCGAACGGGUGAGUAACACGUGAGUAACCUGCCCUUGACUUUGGGAUAACUUCAGGAAACUGGGGCUAAUAUCGGAUAGGAGCUCCUGCUGCAUGGUGGGGGUUGGAUAGUUUCGGCGGUUGUGGAUGGACUCGCGGCUUAUCAGCUUGUUGGUGGGGUAGUGGCUUACCAAGGCUUUGACGGAUAGCCGGCCUGUGAGGGUGACCGGCCACAAUGGGACUGAGAUACGGCCCAGACUCCUACGUGAGGCAGCAGUGGGGAAUAUUGCACAAUGGGCGGAAGCCUGAUGCAGCAACGCCGCGUGCGGGAUGACGGCCUUCGGGGAGUAAACCGCUGUCGCCUGUGACGAAGCGUGAGUGACGGUAAUGAGUAAAUAAGCACCGGCUAACUACGUG
rnacentral:rRNA from 1 species